AGCGUACACGGUGGAUGCCCUGGCAGUCAGAGGCGAUGAAGGACGUGCUAAUCUGCGAUAAGCGCCGGUAAGGUGAUAUGAACCGUUAUAACCGGCGAUUUCCGAAUGGGGAAACCCAGUGUGAUUCGUCACACUAUCAUUAACUGAAUCCAUAGGUUAAUGAGGCGAACCGGGGGAACUGAAACAUCUAAGUACCCCGAGGAAAAGAAAUCAACCGAGAUUCCCCCAGUAGCGGCGAGCGAACGGGGAGGAGCCCAGAGCCUGAAUCAGCAUGUGUGUUAGUGGAAGCGUCUGGAAAGGCGCGCGAUACAGGGUGACAGCCCCGUACACAAAAGCGCAUGUGCUGUGAGCUCGAUGAGUAGGGCGGGACACGUGGUAUCCUGUCUGAAUAUGGGGGGACCAUCCUCCAAGGCUAAAUACUCCUGACUGACCGAUAGUGAACCAGUACCGUGAGGGAAAGGCGAAAAGAACCCCGGCGAGGGGAGUGAAAAAGAACCUGAAACCGUGUACGUACAAGCAGUGGGAGCACAGGUUUACCUGUGUGACUGCGUACCUUUUGUAUAAUGGGUCAGCGACUUAUAUUCUGUAGCAAGGUUAACCGUAUAGGGGAGCCGUAGGGAAACCGAGUCUUAACCGGGCGUUAAGUUGCAGGGUAUAGACCCGAAACCCGGUGAUCUAGCCAUGGGCAGGUUGAAGGUUGGGUAACACUAACUGGAGGACCGAACCGACUAAUGUUGAAAAAUUAGCGGAUGACCUGUGGCUGGGGGUGAAAGGCCAAUCAAACCGGGAGAUAGCUGGUUCUCCCCGAAAGCUAUUUAGGUAGCGCCUCGUGAAUUCAUCUCCGGGGGUAGAGCACUGUUUCGGCUAGGGGGCCAUCCCGGCUUACCAACCCGAUGCAAACUGCGAAUACCGGAGAAUGUUAUCACGGGAGACACACGGCGGGUGCUAACGUCCGUCGUGAAGAGGGAAACAACCCAGACCGCCAGCUAAGGUCCCAAAGUCAUGGUUAAGUGGGAAACGAUGUGGGAAGGCCCAGACAGCCAGGAUGUUGGCUUAGAAGCAGCCAUCAUUUAAAGAAAGCGUAAUAGCUCACUGGUCGAGUCGGCCUGCGCGGAAGAUGUAACGGGGCUAAACCAUGCACCGAAGCUGCGGCAGCGAACGUAUCACCCAAGACAACUUUACGGAGUUGACGAUUGACGGAGCGAAGCGACGUCAAAGCGUUCAUUAAAGUCGAGUUGGCUUAGGGAUACGUUCGUUGGGUAGGGGAGCGUUCUGUAAGCCUGUGAAGGUGUGUCGUGAGGCAUGCUGGAGGUAUCAGAAGUGCGAAUGCUGACAUAAGUAACGAUAAAGCGGGUGAAAAGCCCGCUCGCCGGAAGACCAAGGGUUCCUGUCCAACGUUAAUCGGGGCAGGGUGAGUCGACCCCUAAGGCGAGGCCGAAAGGCGUAGUCGAUGGGAAACGGGUUAAUAUUCCCGUACUUGGUGUUACUGCGAAGGGGGGACGGAGAAGGCUAUGUUGGCCGGGCGACGGUUGUCCCGGUUUAAGCGUGUAGGUGUGUGUUCCAGGUAAAUCCGGUUCACUUUAACACUGAGGCGUGACGACGAGGCACUACGGUGCUGAAGCAACAAAUGCCCUGCUUCCAGGAAAAGCCUCUAAGCAUCAGGUAACACGAAAUCGUACCCCAAACCGACACAGGUGGUCAGGUAGAGAAUACCAAGGCGCUUGAGAGAACUCGGGUGAAGGAACUAGGCAAAAUGGUGCCGUAACUUCGGGAGAAGGCACGCUGACACGUAGGUGAAGUGAUUUACUCAUGGAGCUGAAGUCAGUCGAAGAUACCAGCUGGCUGCAACUGUUUAUUAAAAACACAGCACUGUGCAAACACGAAAGUGGACGUAUACGGUGUGACGCCUGCCCGGUGCCGGAAGGUUAAUUGAUGGGGUCAGCGUAAGCGAAGCUCCUGAUCGAAGCCCCGGUAAACGGCGGCCGUAACUAUAACGGUCCUAAGGUAGCGAAAUUCCUUGUCGGGUAAGUUCCGACCUGCACGAAUGGCGUAAUGAUGGCCAGGCUGUCUCCACCCGAGACUCAGUGAAAUUGAACUCGCUGUGAAGAUGCAGUGUACCCGCGGCAAGACGGAAAGACCCCGUGAACCUUUACUAUAGCUUGACACUGAACAUUGAGCCUUGAUGUGUAGGAUAGGUGGGAGGCUUUGAAGUGUGGACGCCAGUCUGCAUGGAGCCGACCUUGAAAUACCACCCUUUAAUGUUUGAUGUUCUAACGUGGACCCGUAAUCCGGGUUGCGGACAGUGUCUGGUGGGUAGUUUGACUGGGGCGGUCUCCUCCUAAAGAGUAACGGAGGAGCACGAAGGUUGGCUAAUCCUGGUCGGACAUCAGGAGGUUAGUGCAAUGGCAUAAGCCAGCUUGACUGCGAGCGUGACGGCGCGAGCAGGUGCGAAAGCAGGUCAUAGUGAUCCGGUGGUUCUGAAUGGAAGGGCCAUCGCUCAACGGAUAAAAGGUACUCCGGGGAUAACAGGCUGAUACCGCCCAAGAGUUCAUAUCGACGGCGGUGUUUGGCACCUCGAUGUCGGCUCAUCACAUCCUGGGGCUGAAGUAGGUCCCAAGGGUAUGGCUGUUCGCCAUUUAAAGUGGUACGCGAGCUGGGUUUAGAACGUCGUGAGACAGUUCGGUCCCUAUCUGCCGUGGGCGCUGGAGAACUGAGGGGGGCUGCUCCUAGUACGAGAGGACCGGAGUGGACGCAUCACUGGUGUUCGGGUUGUCAUGCCAAUGGCACUGCCCGGUAGCUAAAUGCGGAAGAGAUAAGUGCUGAAAGCAUCUAAGCACGAAACUUGCCCCGAGAUGAGUUCU
rnacentral:rRNA from 1 species